GGGCGCUUAGCUCAUCUGGUUAGAGCGCGGUCCUGAUAAGACCGAGGUGCAUGGUUCGACCCCAUGAGCGCCCACAA
rnacentral:tRNA from 1 species